GACGAACGCUGGCGGCGUGCUUAACACAUGCAAGUCGAACGGAAAGGCCCUGCUUUUGUGGGGUGCUCGAGCGGCGAACGGGUGAGUAACACGUGAGUAACCUGCCCUUGACUUUGGGAUAACUUCAGGAAACUGGGGCUAAUACCGGAUAGGAGCUCCUGCUGCAUGGUGGGGGUUGGAAAGUUUCGGCGGUUGGGGAUGGACUCGCGGCUUAUCAGCUUGUUGGUGGGGUAGUGGCUUACCAAGGCUUUGACGGGUAGCCGGCCUGAGAGGGUGACCGGCCACAUUGGGACUGAGAUACGGCCCAGACUCCUACGGGAGGCAGCAGUGGGGAAUAUUGCACAAUGGGCGGAAGCCUGAUGCAGCAACGCCGCGUGCGGGAUGAUGGCCUUCGGGUUGUAAACCGCUUUCGCCUGUGACGAAGCGUGAGUGACGGUAAUGGGUAAAGAAGCACCGGCUAACUACGUGCCAGCAGCCGCGGUGAUACGUAGGGUGCGAGCGUUGUCCGGAUUUAUUGGGCGUAAAGGGCUCGUAGGUGGUUGAUCGCGUCGGAAGUGUAAUCUUGGGGCUUAACCCUGAGCGUGCUUUCGAUACGGGUUGACUUGAGGAAGGUAGGGGAGAAUGGAAUUCCUGGUGGAGCGGUGGAAUGCGCAGAUAUCAGGAGGAACACCAGUGGCGAAGGCGGUUCUCUGGGCCUUUCCUGACGCUGAGGAGCGAAAGCGUGGGGAGCGAACAGGCUUAGAUACCCUGGUAGUCCACGCUGUAAACGGUGGGUACUAGGUGUGGGGUCCAUUCCACGGGUUCCGUGCCGUAGCUAACGCUUUAAGUACCCCGCCUGGGGAGUACGGCCGCAAGGCUAAAACUCAAAGGAAUUGACGGGGCCCCGCACAAGCGGCGGAGCAUGCGGAUUAAUUCGAUGCAACGCGUAGAACCUUACCUGGGUUUGACAUGGAUCGGGAGUGCUCAGAGAUGGGUGUGCCUCUUUUGGGGUCGGUUCACAGGUGGUGCAUGGCUGUCGUCAGCUCGUGUCGUGAGAUGUUGGGUUAAGUCCCGCAACGAGCGCAACCCUUGUUCACUGUUGCCAGCACGUUAUGGUGGGGACUCAGUGGAGACCGCCGGGGUCAACUCGGAGGAAGGUGGGGAUGACGUCAAGUCAUCAUGCCCCUUAUGUCCAGGGCUUCACGCAUGCUACAAUGGCUGGUACAGAGAGUGGCGAGCCUGUGAGGGUGAGCGAAUCUCGGAAAGCCGGUCUCAGUUCGGAUUGGGGUCUGCAACUCGACCUCAUGAAGUCGGAGUCGCUAGUAAUCGCAGAUCAGCAACGCUGCGGUGAAUACGUUCCCGGG
rnacentral:rRNA from 1 species